AAGCGUGGGGAGCGAACAGGAUUAGAUACCCUGGUAGUCCACGCCGUAAACGAUGAUUACUCGGUAUUGGCUUCGGUCAGUGCCCAAGCGAAAGUGAUAAGUAAUCCACCUGGGGAGUACGCCCGCAAGGGUGAAACUCAAAGGAAUUGACGGGGGCCCGCACAAGCGGUGGAGCAUGUGGUUUAAUUCGAUGAUACGCGAGGAACCUUACCAGGGUUUAAAUGCAGAACGACAGGGGUGGAAACACCCCCUUCUUCGGACGGACUGCAAGGUGCUGCAUGGUUGUCGUCAGCUCGUGCUGUGAAGUGUCGGGUUAAGUCCCAUAACGAGCGCAACCCCCAUUUCUAGUUGCCAGCGGUUCGGCCGGGGACUCUAGAGAAACUGCCAGCGUAAGCUGUGAGGAAGGUGGGGAUGACGUCAAAUCAUCACGGCCCUUACAUCCUGGGCCACACACGUGCUACAAUGGUGGGGACAACAGGUUGCCAACCCGCGAGGGUGAGCCAAUCCCAAAACCCCAUCUCAGUUCGGAUCGGAGUCUGCAACUCGACUCCGUGAAGUUGGAAUCGCUAGUAAUCGCGGAUCAGCCAUGCCGCGGUGAAUACGUUCCCGGGCCUUGUACACAC
rnacentral:rRNA from 1 species